UACGGGGGGGGCAAGCGUUGUUCGGAAUUACUGGGCGUAAAGGGCUCGUAGGCGGCCGACUAAGUCAGACGUGAAAUCCCCCGGCUUAACCGGGGAACUGCGUCUGAUACUGGACGGCUUGAAUUCGGGAGAGGGAUGCGGAAUUCCAGGUGUAGCGGUGAAAUGCGUAGAUAUCUGGAGGAACACCGGUGGCGAAGGCGGCAUCCUGGACCGACAUUGACGCUGAGGGGCGAAAGCCAGGGGAGCAAACGGG
rnacentral:rRNA from 1 species